rnacentral:rRNA from 1 species
AUGCCCUAGUAACGGCGAGUGAAGCGGCAACAGCUCAAAUUUGAAAUCUGGCCCUCGGGUCCGAGUUGUAAUUUGUAGAGGAUGAUUUUGGUUAGGUACCUUCCGAGUUCCUUGGAACAGGACGCCUUAGAGGGUGAGAGCCCCGUACGGUUGGAUGCCGAGCCUCUGUAAAUCUCCUUCGACGAGUCGAGUAGUUUGGGAAUGCUGCUCUAAAUGGGAGGUAAAUUUCUUCUAAAGCUAAAUACCGGCCAGAGACCGAUAGCGCACAAGUAGAGUGAUCGAAAGAUGAAAAGCACUUUGAAAAGAGGGUUAAAUAGUACGUGAAAUUGUUGAAAGGGAAGGGCUUGUGACCAGACCUUUGCCUUGCGGAUCAUCCGGUGUUCUCACCGGUGCACUCCGCUUGGUUGAGGCCAGCAUCAGUUUCGGCGGCGGGAUAAAGACUUCAGGAACGUGACUCCCCCGGGAGUGUUAUAGCCUGCUGUGUAAUACCGCCGCUGGGACUGAGGACCGCGCUUCGGCUAGGAUGCUGGCAUAAUGGUCAUCAGCCACCCGUCUUGAAACACGGACCAAGGAGUCGAACAUUUAUGCGAGUUUUUGGGUGUUAAACCCUCAAGCGUAAUGAAAGUGAACGGAGGUGAGAGCCCUUACGGGUGCAUCAUCGACCGAUCCUGAUGUCUUCGGAUGGAUUUGAGUAAGAGCAUAACUGUUCGGACCCGAAAGAUGGUGAACUAUGCGUGGAUAGGGUGAAGCCAGAGGAAACUCUGGUGGAGGCUCGCAGCGGUUCUGACGUGCAAAUCGAUCGUCAAAUCUGCGCAUGGGGCGAAAGACUAAUCG